UUAUUUAGAGUAUUUGUUUCUUCGUUUAGCAAGUAUUAAUUGACACCUCCUUUCCUAUAUGCUAGUUACUGUUCCAGGCAUUGAGGAUGAUAUAGUAAAUAAGACAGAAGAAUAUAGUAAAUAAGAGAGAAGGUCCCUGCUCUCUUGGAGAGAGAGAGCAUUUUUAUUAUUAUUAUUUUAUUUUUCGUAACAAAUCUAAUAUCAUUAUCUUUUCUGUAUUUAGGUUCGACUAGUGAUAGUGGAUGGUAUUGCUUUUCCAUUUCGUCAUGACCUAGAUGACCUGUCUCUUCGUACUCGGUUAUUAAAUGGCCUAGCCCAGCAAAUGAUCAGCCUUGCAAAUAAUCACAGAUUAGCUGUAAUUUUAACCAAUCAGAUGACAACAAAGAUUGAUAGAAAUCAGGCCUUGCUUGUUCCUGCAUUAGGGGAAAGUUGGGGACAUGCUGCUACAAUACGGCUAAUCUUUCAUUGGGACCGAAAGCAAAGGUUGGCAACAUUGUACAAGUCACCCAGCCAGAAGGAAUGCACAGUACUGUUUCAAAUCAAACCUCAGGGAUUUAGAGAUACUGUUGUUACUUCUGCAUGUUCAUGGCAAACAGAAGGUUCCUUGAGCACCCGGAAACGGUCACGAGACCCAGAGGAAGAAUUAUAACCCAGAAACAAAUCUCAAAGUGUACAAAUUUAUUGAUGUUGUGAAAUCAAUGUGUACAAGUGGACUUGUUACUUUAAAGUAUAAAUAAACACACUAUGGCAUGAA
rnacentral:sRNA from 1 species